rnacentral:lncRNA from 1 species
UAGGUAACUCACCUUGUAAGUCACCAGCUACCUCUUGCUCUACCAGUUGUACUUGCACAGCUGCGUUGGCAUCAACAUCAACGUUCUCUAUAGGUACAUGUUGAGUAUUAGUUUUCACUAUCAGAUCAAUAAUAUUGUUAAUAAAUUUAAAAUAUUAGUAAUAAUAAUUGGUGUGUAGUUUUCUUGUACCUGUUACAGUUUGAGGAUCGUUUCCAUUAAACCUGUUGAUGAGUCCAAUGCUAACAAUUAUCAGCAGCACCAACGCCAAAGCACCUGCUAGUCCAUAUGGAAAGGCUACAUUGCAAGUAAACAACAUCAACAUAGCAGUUCUAUUUCAUACUUCCAGUAGCAUAUUCAACAAAAAAAGAAAUGAUUUAAGAAUAAAGAAUAAUGCCCAUUUGGUCCUUUACCAACUUUUGAUAAAGACCAGAAUGUCCUUGCACAUGUGACUCACAUAUAAUCACCUGAAUUCAUUCAAUACAAAUCUUAUAAAUAACACAAAUAUCAAAGCAAUAACCUAGACGGAACACUUUUCUCUCUGACGAAAAUGAUUUCAAACAAAUCAACAUAAUAGUUUCAAACUUACAAUAAAACCAAUACUCUUCGAUAAUUUUAUCAUUGUAUUUCUAGAUCUAUGAUGGUAAGACCAAAAUGAGGUUUUAUUUCUCGAUUCUAUCAUGGGAAUAAACCUCCUUAUAAGUUCACUGUUCUAUGACAAGAUACUCUGCAUCAAAAGCCACUUAUCAUACUAAUAAAAAAUCAUCCACCAAAAUUAAUCUCCAACAAAUCUCAUCUUGCCCUCUAUAUUAUUUACAUGAUUCCUAAACAAAAUUUUAAAGUUCACCACUGUCCCCGCCGUGGCUGUUAUAUCCAAUUACAAUUAUGGAGGGGUGAGCGAAAUUUAACGAAUGGAUCAAAAAUACCUGUGAUAGAGCAUAGUUGGGCACGUUUAGCUUCUAGCAACAUGCGGAUAUGUAAGGAGCUUAAUUUCCCUAUCUAGAUCAAAUCUGAAGAAAACAAACACCACAUCUACAGCAACACCAUAGCUAGACAAGCAUAAGUGCACUAAGGUCCAUGCCACAUACACGAAGAAAUAGUCCUUGCUAGAUUAGUUGUCUCUUUUGCUCUAGAUCACAUUGAAGACAAACCAUCUACCCAUCUUUCCAGAGAUUCUGGAACCCCAAUUUCUCCAGCUCCUUGACUACAAAUUCAUUUCAUCUCAUACCCAAUACUCAAUAACAUGAAAUUCUUCCUUCUUGGCAUAAGAUUGCAAAGUAUUUAUUCCUUUACCCUCAACAUGUCACUGUGAUUUUAAUCUUUGUGUAGUUGCUAAUUAACUCCUACGCAAUUUUAUUUUUUUCUACUUAAUUCUAAGAAGGAGACAUGGUUCUUCGAAUGAGCUUGGAUCGUGGCAUGAAAACAAGUUCAAUGAGAAAGGUCAAUAUUUGUUUUUUGCAAAAUUGCAUUUUGCUUGGAUCAACUCAUACGUUAUGGACACGAGUAUAACCAGACAUGUGUUUGGCAUGUGAAAGGGUAAUUUUGCUAUUUUGAAGAAAAUGUCAGUACCAAAGGUUAAAAGGAAUUAUUUGGAAGGAUCGAAGGCUAAAUACUCCAAAAUUUAUGAAUCAAAAUCUAUAUGUUACCUUUGCUUUGCAUUUAAAAUCUUGGAACUAAACUUUUGAUGAAUCUAACACUUCCUUUUGGUUGUAGUCCAUAGGAAGACACUAGGAAUAUCAGAAUCACAACACAUAUGAACACUACUCUAGAGCCAUUGACCAAUAAUUGUUUUGCUCUACUAAGUCCGAAAAUAGUUUAUGGUUGGGGUUCCAUUUCAGGAUUGUAACGCCCCGGGAUUUCGUCCUCGCUCAUCCCGGUGCGUCGAGCACCAUACCGCUCACUAAUGUCAAUAUUGUCCCCCUUUAGUCACUGUGGAUAUCCAGCAGUAGAGGGUUUUGGAUCAGGGCCCACCCAUGUGGUUCACCCCAAAAGGCCUUAACAUUAGUUAGAGUAUGGUUAAGCUUUAUAUACUACCGAAACAACCACUUCCUUGGCAAUGUGGGACUAACACCAACUCAUGGGUGUUACAAUCUCACCACCUUAGAAAUAGAGCCGUCCUCGGCUCUGCAGUACACUCAGUACAGUCCCAAAAUCUCCGACGUUUCCUGCCAAGUGGGACAAGUACCUGGCGCUCCCUAGGCCUUUCCAGCGUACUUUCCCACCUGCAACAGGCGACCCGUCGUCGGUUCUGAUACCAACUAUCUGUAACACCCCAGGAUUUCGUCCUCGCUCAUCCCGGUGCGUCGAGCACCAUACCGCUCGCUAAUGUCAAUAUUAUCCCCCUUUAGUCACUGCGGAUAUCCAGCAGUAGAGGGUUUUGGAUCAGGGCCCACCCAUGUGGUUCACCCCAAAAGGCCUUGACAAGCUCUAUAUACUACCGAAACAACCACUUCCUUGGCAAUGUGGGACUAACACCAACUCAUGGGUGUUACCAGGAUUGACGAAAAAUUCAAUAAAAAGAAUGUAUGCACAUUGACCAUAGAAGAACCUAUGCUCUUGCGGACCCAACCUCGUAUGGGCAAUCCAAUACUGAACAACGCGACCAGGGGGGUCAAGACAAUCAUCCGCGGUGCAGAAGCAGUAUGGGCAGAAAUCUCAAGGUCAAGCCUCACAAACCGGAGAUAGGAGACAAGCACAGUUGCAUGCUAUUACCGAUAGAGAGCCCACUCCAGUGUGAAUGCCAGAGUCGUCAUCUCAGGGAUGAGUGUAUGUUGUUCCACGAGACCGUGAGGCAAAUGGGGCGCUAUUAGAAAGUACAUUCCUUGUUCACUUAAAACCAGCUAGAAUACUUUUUGAUCCUGGCGCUAGACGCUCUUUUAUAUCAUCAGAUUUUUUUACUUUGUCGGGUGUUAUACCUGAGAUUAUGACCAUCCUUUGGUAGUGAAGACACCAUUAGGUGAAUUUUCUGUAUUGGAUAAGAUGUGUAGAGAUCUAGUAAUUAGUAUAGAUGAAUAUGCGUUUCCAUUUGAUAUAAUAGUGCUUGUAAUGCAUGAUUUUGAUGUUAAUUUAGGCAUGGAGUGGAAUUCUGCAUUCCAUUUGAGAAUUGAUUGUUGUGCAAAGACAGUGAGUCGGACAUGAGCCGAUAGUGUUUGUGGCUACUAGAGGUAACACUUUAGCCGAAGCAUUUAUGGCACAUCUAGAAGAUGGCAUCCCUGGGGAUAGUCGGCUGGACAAAAUACCUAUUGUAGCAGACUUCAUAGAUGUCUUUCGGAUUUCCAGGUUUUACCUCCUCCCCGAGUGGUAGACUUCACAAUUGAGCUCCUUCCUGGCACUUCUCCAAUUGCUAGGGCACCCUAUCGUAUGGCUCCAAGUGAACUGAAAGAGCUAAAAUCUCAGAUUCAAGAAUCGCUAGAUCAUGGUUUCAUUUGUGAAAGUAAAACCGGAAAUCCCCAUGGGGAGCACCAGUACUUUUCGUCAAGAGAAGGAAUGAGUCACCUUGCCAUUGUAUUGACUACAGGGAGUUGAAUAAAGUCACAGCACGUAAUCGAUAUCCUUUGCCUAGAAUUGACGAUCUGUUCGAUCAAUUGAAGAGACCACAGCGGUUCUCCAAAAUCGACUUAUGGUCCAGUUACCAUCAGUUGAGGUGAGGCUGAUGUGCCUAAGACGACUUUCGUUACUCGUUACGAUUCUUACUAAUUUGUAGUGGUGCCUUCUGGCUUAAAUAAUGCCCCGGCAGUGUUUAUGAACCUUAUGACCGAGUUUUCAGACUGUACCAUGAUCAGUUUAUGAUCGUUUUUAUCGAUGAUAUAUUGAUCUGGAAGACCUGAGAAAGUGAGAAGAGCAUUAAGAUAACUUGCGAGCUGCACUUCAGACCUUGCGAGAACAUCAGCUUUAUGCCAAGUUCUCAAAAUGUGAAUUUUGGCUCUAAGAGGUAAAAUUCUUGGGUCAUGUUGUUUCUGCGAGUGGUAUAUCAGUUCAAACAUUCAAGCUGUUUUGAAUUGGAAGCCACCAACUAUAGUUGCAGAGGUCAGAAGUUUCUUGGGAUUGGCUGGGUACUAUAGACGUUUUAUCAGAAUUUUGCGCGUAUUGCAGCACCAAUGACAGCUGACACGUGAAGGUGUUCGGUUUGUUUGAACGGACAAAUGUCAACAAGCUUUUGACACAUUGAAGUCCAAAUUGACGAUGAGACACCAGUCUUGAUCACUCCUGAGAGUGGAGCUGGAUAUGUAAUUUACAUUGAUACUUCAAAUCAGGGAUUGGGCUGUGUUCUUAUGCAGUGGGAUAGGGUGGUACCUAUGCAUCUCGACAACUUAACGAUUCAUGAGCAGAACUACCCCACUCACGACCUAGAAUUGGCAGCUGUUGUGUUUGCUCUUAGACUGUGGAGACAUUAUAUCUUCAAUGAGAAGUUCGAGAUCUUCACUGAUCCUAAAAGUUUGAAAUAUAUUUUUCCCAGAAGGAUUUAAAUAUGAGGCAAAGGAGGUGGUUGAAGCUAACUCUCAUUAGAGUACCAUCCGGGGAAAGCAAAUGUUGUAGCUGAUGCUUUGAGCCGAAAAUCCUAUGCUACAGUUGUUCACUUGAGGACGUAUCGGUGGGAGACUGGUGGAGUCAAUUGUAGAUUCAAUAUUUGAAGAGCACACUGCGUAUUUGGGAACCAUCGGCAACCUAAUCUUGUGUCUAGUAAUAGAAGGCCAACGCGGCAAUGAGUGGGAGCAAACCAGAAUUUCAGAAUCUGCAAGCAAUGCUGAAUGUGAUCGGACAGUUGGAAAGGAGAGUGGAUUACGACUCAAAGGUCGUCUUGUGAUUCCUAAUGAGGCGGAGCUUCGAAAGGAGAUCAUAGAUGAGGCCAUCACAGUAAAUAUAGGUACAUCCCGGAAGUACGAAGAUGUAUAAAGAUUUGUGAAGGCAUUUUUGUUGGAAGAAAAUGAAGUAUGAUAUCGCUGACUAUGUAUCCAAAUGCCUUACAUGUCAACAAGUGAAAUCGGAACACCAAAAGCCAGUGGGUUACUGCAACCUUUGCCAGUCGGUGAGUGGAAGUGGGAACAUAUUAGCAUGGAUUUCGUAGAAGGGCUGACCAGAUCACAGAUUCACAGCGAGGUCACGACGCCAUCAGGGUUAUUGUAGAUCAUUUGACCAAGUCGGCACACUUCUUACCGAUAAAGAAGACUCAUAAUAUGAAUGUGCUUGCUACCUUGUACAAUAAAGAGAUAGUGUGACUUCAUGGUGUACCAGUUUCAAUUGUCUCUGACAGAGAUAGUCAGUAUACCUCGCAUUUUUAAAAGUGCUUAGGCUUACAGCACCACUCGAAAUUAGCACGUGUUUCAUCCAUAAACGGAUGGGGAGACUGAAAGAGUCAACCAGACUUUAGAGGAUAUGCACCGAGCAUGUGUCCUUGGUUUUAAAGGGAGUUGGAGAAAUCACCUACUGUUAACUGAGUUUGCAUAUAACGCAACAGUCAUCAGGCGACUAUCGGGAUGGCAUCGUUUGAAGCGCUAUACGGCAGACCUUGUAGAUCCCCCGUAUGUUAGGCCAAAACAGGUGAUGCUGCUCUUUUAGGACCAGACUUGGUACGUGAAACUACUGAAAAGGUCGCUUUAGUUCAAUAAAGUUUCCUAUUUUGACAUUGGUUUCUAUUUUUUGUUUCAAGUAUUGUUUAGAAGUCCAAGUAGUAGUAGAAUUUGAUUUCUAAAUUGUUAUUUUCGUUUUUUAUUAUUUGCUGCUUCUGGAACUAAAUGCAAUGGUCUUUAUUAUCUUUUUCCUACACAUGAAUUGAAUGAUACAAGUGUUGAUAGUACAUCUUAGUAAUAUUUCUCACAAGAGAAAAACUCUUACUGAUAACCUCACUUAUCUAUGGCAUCUUAGAUUGGGUCAUAUUAUUCUGAAUAGGAUUGAUAGAUUAGUAAAAGAUGGACUUUUGGGUUCAUUGGUUUUAGAACCAUACCCAACCUGUGAGUCUUGUUUAGAAGGGAAAAUAACCAAAAGGCCCUUUAAUUCUAAAGGACGAAGAGCAAAUUAUUAUUGGAACAGAUACAUACAGAUGUUUGUGGUCCAAUGAAUUUGAAAGCAAGAGGUAACUUUGAAUAUUUCAUCAUUUUCACAAAUGACUAUUCUAGGUAUAAAAAUGUGUAUUUGAUGCACAAGAAAUCUGAAGCCUUUGAAAAGUUUAAAAAAUUUAGAACAGAAGCUGAAAAGCAAACUGGGAAAUCCAUAAUGGGAUUUUGUCUCAAUUAAGUGCACCUAGAACUCCACAACGGAAUGGGGUUGCAGAGAGAAGAAAUAGAACUUUAUUAUAUAUAGUUCGUCUAUGAUGAGCUAUUCAACGCUCCCAACCUCCCUUUGGGGAUAUGCUUUAGAAACAACAAUGUAUGUUUUUAAUUUGGUUCCAUCUAAAUCAGUUCCUAAAACUCCUAGGGAGUUAUGGUCUGGGCGUAAGCCUAGUAUACAUCAUUUACAUGUAUGGGGUUCACCUGCAAAUGUAUUUAAAGGGAAAUCUGAUAAGAUGGAAUCAAGAACAAGCGUUUGUAUGUUUAUUGGAUAUCCCAAGGACACUCAUGGUGGACGCUUUUAUAAUCCAAGAGAGCAGACAGUGUUUAGCACUUUAGCACUAAUGUCAAGUAUCUCGAGGAAGAUUAUGUAAAUAGUCAGAAACCUAAAAGUUCCAUAGUCAUUGAAGAAAUGACUGGAGAAAACUCUGGCAUAGUUCAAUCUGAACAAGCUCCUAGUCUAGAUGCACAACUUCCAAGACCAACUACAAACAUACCUAAACCUACUCCAGUACUUCAUCGUAGUGGGAGAAGAAUCAAACCUCCAAAGAAGAUGAACCUUUUGGGUGAAAUCUUUCCUGUUGAUUCAGAUAACCAGGAUAAUGAUCCAGUAAACUAUGAUGAAGCAAUUUCUGACAUUGAUUCAGGAAAAUGGUUUGAAGCAAUGAAAUCAGAAAUAGAGUCAAUGGAUUCCAAUUAUGUCUGGGAACUUGUUGAUCCACUACAUAAUGUUAAAACAAUAGGUUCAAAGUGGAUUUACACGAGAAAAAGAGGACCUGAUGGUAAGGUUGAGACCUUUAAAGCAAGACUGGUGGCAAAGGGGUAUAAUACAAAAGAAGGUAUCGAUUACGAGGAUCAAGGACGAAGCUACAUGGGAAGAUAGUCGGGCACGUGCCCCACUCAAUUUUUGUAAAUAUUUUUACUGUGUAUGUAUACCGAUUGAAUUUUUCUUAUCAUUCUCUGCCCAUUUAACCAUAAGUGCCUCCUUAAUAUAUUUAGAACUUUGACUAUUUUACUUACGUGGUCAUUUUUCUUGUUCCAAUCAUGCAAUAGCCCAAUCAAAACAUCAUUUGUAGCUAUGUUCUCCAAUAGGAAUGUACUUUAAAAUGCAAAUAAUUACAGUUCUUAAUUGGAAAAAAUCGGUUUGGAUUUUUUAGGUUUAUCAUAAUAUUAGGGAAAUCAUAUUGACACCCGGUCUUUUACCAAGAGCUAUCCAAUAUCUUAAGUUCAGUCCACCCGAAAACUAAAGUAUAUUAUGGGCACCUAAGUGUUAAGAGCCAUCCAUAUCUUAAAUUAUUAGUUGUUGGAAAAUUCUUUUUCUUCUUUUUCUUUUCCAUUCACGUAAAUUCAAUCAAUAUAGAAAUUAAAUCUGGAUGAAAGGAAUUCAAAGCUUCAUAAUAAUUGAAUUGCAUGAGAUUAAGUGUCAUGAAACCAACUUUUACUACAUUUUCCAUGUGGAAUUUUGUUUGCUUUCUGAUAACAACAUUUUUUUUUUUGCCUAGUAAAACACAAAUUUUAUUAAGAAGGGUGUGAGAGGUUCACACUAGCCCAAAAUACAAGAAGAAACAGACUCAGUGUACAUGUAAGAUCACGUCCUCCUAUCUCAACAUAAAGUCAUCAAGCCUAACACCACUCAUACAAGGUCUAAAGUAAAUCCAAUUCCAUGCAAGCAUCUUGAUGUCAUUGAUGAGCUGCCCAAGGUCUCUGUUUACCCCUUCAAAGACUCUUCUGUUUCUUUCUUUCCAGAUUCCCAACAUAUAAUGUGAAACAACACCUUCCAGGUUAUUCUACCCACCCUUGACAGGUCACCGCACUUCCAAUUAUAGAAUAUAUGCAUUAGGCUUCCAUCAAUAUCAAUCUGACAGUUGAAUUCAUUAAUGAAAAAGUUCCACACUCCUCUACUCAUUCUACAAGAUCUGAAUAAAUGAUCAAUAGACUCGGCAUCAGCACAACAAAAGCUACAUCUAUUAACCAAGGGGACACCCCUCUUCUGCAAGUUAACAACUGUCAACACCUUACCCCAGGCCAACACCCACAUAAAGAAGCAGACUUUUGUAGGAACCUUGGGAUUCCAAACUUUAGUGGUAGGGAAACCGUAGAGAGCCAGAUGGUUAUGUCGUACCCUGGUAUCUUCCAAUCUUGCAUACACAGACUUUGCGGAAUAGUCACUAUCUUUAGUCUUUACCCAUCCAAACCCUUCUAUCAGGUUCAACACUUGUAGAAUGGUGUGAGAUUAAAUCAAUGAGCUGUGAGGCUUAAUUUAAUUCUCUAUCAAAGAACCUUCUCCUCAAAUGCAAAGUUCAAUAGCAUUUGCCACACUUGAAGGCACAGUCAACAAAGAUAAGUAGUAGAUAGGCAGGCUUGAGAAUGUUGACUUAAUGAGAAUGAUACGAUUACCAGCUGAUAAAUACCUGCGCCUCCACGUAGCUAAUCGUUUCCUGACUCUUUCCAAAACUUGUGCCCAAACACGUGUACCCUUAUAAGGAGCAGCAAGUGGCAGCCCCAAAUAAGUAGCUGGCAGGUUGCCCACCUGACUUCCAUUAAGUCUGCUAUGGAUGCAAGAUUAUCUCCCACAUUGACACCAUAAACAAUGCUCUUAGAGAAGUUAACACCAAGACCAUACACAACUUCAAACAAAUUGAAAGUUGCUUUCAGGUUUCUUAGUUGUUCAUAAUUCAUAUCAAUGAACACCAAUGUGUCAUCACUCAUCAGCAUACUGGAGAACUGGAAUUGCUUGGCUUCCAUCUGCAGUUCUAAAACCCACCAUCCUACCUCUGUCUUGUUGUUGCCAUUCUAGUUAAUGCUUCACUUACCAACACAAAAAGCAGGGGAGACAAUGGGUCCCCCUGCCGCAACCUAUCCGAGUUUUGAAAUACUCCUUCAGAGUGCAAUUCACCAAUAUAGACAGGAAGAGAUACAUGCAAAGAUCCAUUUGCGCUAUUUUUCCCCGAAGCCAAAUCUUUGCGAUAAAUAGUCAAGAAAGGACCAGUUGACACAAUCAAAAGUUUUUUUGAAAUCCAUUUUGCAGACAAUACCAGGCACACCACUUCUUUUCAUUGUGUCAAUGACCUCAUUGGCUAUCAAAACCCCAUCUAAUAUUUGUCUACCCUCCACAGCAACACCCUGGAAAUUACUGACAAGCUUAAGAAGAACAGCUUUUAAUCGAAUUGAGAGGACCUUAGCCAAAAUUUUGUACACCCCGCCUUACAAGCUUAUUCGCCUAAAGUUUGAGAUGGCCACUGAACCAGGGCAUUUAGGAAUCAGAGCUACAAAAGUGUUAUUCAAUCUCCAAUUGAUAAAAUUAUUAUCAUAGAGUUCCUUCACCACCCUCAUUAUAUCAUCUUUCAUGAAGUCCCAACAUAAACUGUAAAUAGCAAUAGGGUAACCAUCAGGGUCUGGGGAUUUAUCAGCAGCAAGACUAUUGAUGGCAGUUUUAACUUCUUCGCUACAUAAGUCUCUCUCCAACCAGCGAGCAUCAAUUUCCUGAAUGGUGUUAGCCUCCAUCAAAUUUUGGUCUGUGGUUAAACUCCUCGGCAUAAAGCUUCCCAUAGAACUCUACAAUAUGGCUUUCAAUAAGAGUCUGGUCCUACGUCGAAUGUUCACCCACCUUCAUCAAAAAAAAAAAAAAAAAUGGAAUUAUUGGUAUAUCUUGCAUUGGCCACUCUAUGAAGAUAACCAGUACACUUAUCUCCAUCUCGAUCAAACUUGGUUUUUGCUCUCGAACUCCAGAAUCUAUCCUUCAUAUUCAGAGCUUCAUUUAACUUUCUAGCACACUCCCCUUUUUCAUUAAGUUCCUCCUCAUUCAGGUCACAUAACUCCUCCUUUUGUUCAAAGAGAUCAAAGGCAGCUUGACAUUCUUUCACCUUGGUAUCAAACCUGCCAAUGUUAAACUUCUUCCAUUCCAAAAUUUUGAAUUUCAACAACUUCAAUUUCUUGAACAAUACGAAGCCUGGUUUACCCUGAAUACUUAUGUCACACCACCAUUGUUUCAUACUCUGUAAAAGGGUACUCUCUUCCAAUCACGUCAUCUCAAAUUUACAAUUUUUAUUUCAAAAACAUGGUGAGAAUCCAUAUUCUUUCUUGCAAAUCAACAUUGUAGAUAUGUUUAUAGUUUCUAAUUAAUUAAUUUAAUCAUUGUUGUACAAUACAAAAUUUGAACAAUUUUAAUCUCAAUUAACGUUAUUAAAAUGUUAAAACUCUCUAGGGUUAUCAAUUUGUAAAAAAUUUAACCAUUAGUGUUGUUUUGUUCUUUUUGUUGUUCUUUUUUUAAAGAAAGAAAAUAAAAAAAAUCUGGGUGGCUCUUUAGUAUAUUAGAGUAUUUGGGUGUGAUUAAUUUUUUCUGGUCUUUAUCUAAGAUGUUGGAUAGCUGUUUGUAGAACACCGAGUGUCAUAUAUUUUCCCUAAUAUUAACAACUAAUUAUUCACUAGGCAGUAGUGCAGUACAUAGUGCAUACAACAUUAUCUAUAACUAGUUCUUAACAUAGGUUUCAGAAUCAAAUUAUUACACAAGAUAUUAUAGCUAAAUUAUGAAAUUUUGUUAGAACAAUCAACAACAANNNNNNNNNNNNNNNNNNNNNNNNNNNNNNNNNNNNNNNNNNNNNNNNNNNNNNNNNNNNNNNNNNNNNNNNNNNNNNNNNNNNNNNNNNNNNNNNNNNNCCUGAUUGUUUGUAAUAAAAAUAAUUAUAACCAGAAAAAAAUAGUUGAAGUGUUUAAAAUCGAAAAAAGAAAAAAGAAAAAUCCUUCUAAUUUAAGUGUCCCACUAAGAAAAAUUUCCUGGCUCCAUCCCUGAUGAGGACACUUUCUCGCCAGUAGCCAUGCUCAAUUACAUUAAAAUUCUUCUUGGCAUUGCUGCUCAAUGUGAUUAUGAGAUACGGCAAAUGAAUGUAAAGACUGCAUUCUUGAAUGGUUUUCUCGAGGAGGACAUUUAUAUGAUCCAACCCGAAGGCUUUACAUACUCUGGACAGGAUACAGGAACAUAAAGUAUGCAAGCUUAAACGGGCCAUUUAUGGACUAAGACAAGCUUCAAGAAGUUGGAAUACACGUUUUGAUCAAGCAAUCAAAUCAUUUGGUUUUGAUCAAAGUGAAGAAGAACCUUGUGUUUACAAGAAGGGUGAAGGUAAAUCCAUUACUUUCCUGGUCUUAUAUGUGGAUGACAUAUCGCUCAUUGGGAAUGAUGCAGGAAUGUUGACCACAGUCAAAGUCUGGUUGUCUAAUCAUUUCAAUAUGAAAGAUUUUGGUGAUGCAAACUACAUCUCAGGGAUCAAGCUUUUGUGAGAUCGGAAAAAUAAGAUGAUAGGACUAUCUCAAGCUGCAUAUUGAGAAAUUGGUUUCCAAAUAGGCAAAUACUCACUGCAAAUUUCCAAAAAGGGUUUUCUACCCUUUCAGCCUGGGAAAAAUCUUUCCAAGGACUGCUGUCCUAUGACACUAAAGGAAAAGAAGAAAAUGCAGGGAACUCCUUAUGCUUCGGCUGUAGGAAGUCUUAUGUAUGCAAUGUUGUGUACAAGGCCUGACAUUUGUUAUGCAAUUGGAAUGGUGAGUAGAUUCCAAAGUGAUACAGGUCCAGAUCAAUGGACAGCAACCAAGAACAUUAUCAAGUAUUUGAGAAGAACAAAACAUUAUGCUUUGGUUUAUGGAAGUGAUGACUUAAGUCCUUUUGGUUACGGGGAUUUCGAUUUUCAAGUGGAUAUGGAAUUUAGGAAAUCCACCUCAGGAUAUUUCUUUACUCUUGGUGGUGAAGCCGUCGGUUGGAAAGUGUUAAACAACAAUGUAUUGCUGAUUUUACUACGGAAGCUGAAUAUGUAGCUACUAGUGAAGCGCCUAAAGAGGCAGUUUGGUUGAAGAAAUUUCUUUCUGAAUUAGGAGUUGUUCCAGAAGCAGAUAAGCUUAUCACUUUAUAUUGUGACAAUAGUGGUGCAGUGGCUCAAUCUACAGAACCAAGGUACCACAAGAGGUCCAAGCAUGUUGAAAGGAAGUAUCACUUGAUUCGACACAUAGUUCACAGAGGAGAUAUAGUUGUUACAAAGAUUGCUUCGGCUAAGAACUUGGCAGACCCUUUUACCAAAGCUUUACCCGCCAAGAGUUUAGACAGACAUAGAGACAACAUGGGUGUGAAAGUUAUCUCAAAUUGGAUUUGAGAACCAGUGGGAGAUUGUUGGGUUUUGGGUUGACAAUUCCAAUUUGUUAUGUUUGGAUAUUGAUUGUUAUUUCUGUGAAUAAAUUAUUACUUACUUCAUGCAUUAUAAUAUAUGGAUUAUAUAAAUAUAUAUUAACUCGUGAUGAAAGGUUCCAUAGGUAAUGAGAUUAGGAUUACCAAGUAUGUGAAGAGUACUCACACACGGGAGAUUUGGUCAUUCUAUUUUACCUUAAUAUUCGCAGUUAGGGGUGAAGUUGAUCACUUCACUUAUAUGACUGUAAUGUAUGUCACUACUAUAUGAUAGAGUGAUGGUAUCUCAAUCACUUGAGUAGUUGACUCUAGGUUCAUACAUUAGUGUAGUUAAUUGACUGACAUUGAAAGGGAUCAAUGUGAAUACACACUUGAAAUUCACUGUUAAGGUUAGUGUGUAAAUUCACUCUACUAAAUAUUCCUUUGACUUGAGGAAAUGCGACAAAUAACAAUGCUUGAAACUUGCCGUUUUGAGACAUUAUAAACGUGUUUUGGGCGACGAAUGUAGGAUAUUGUGGUAUUACAUAUUCCAAUAUAGGAUCUACCAACUCAUUGAGUUGAUAUUCUGCUAAUGAUAUUAUUAACUGGACAUAAGCCCAGCCGGUACAAGAAAUUGUUUCUUGGAGUUCAAUUUAUAAUUAAUUCACAAGGAGGCAUAAACAAUUAGCCAAAGGGCGUGCCAGUGAAGUUUUCUCUACAUAUUCCAAUAUAGGAUCUAACAAUUAACCAAGUUGGUUACCAUAAUCCCACGAUUUGGGUUAUAGUUUUCUCUAUAAAAGGAGACUAAAGCUUGACGAGAAAGACCAUUAGUUUCUCUCUAAGUAUUCUACCAAGGUGGUUUGUGAUUUAUGCUACUAAAAGAUUUAAGAAAUGAAACCAACAACAUUAUUAACAAGAUUCAACUAUUCAAUAACGAGGAUUCAGGUACGACUAUUAUAUCUUUGGCAAGAUUCAAAAUAAUAUACUCGUAAUUCGAUCAUGUUUAUUUAUAUACUUCAUGAUGCUUGUGUGAUCUGUGUGAUAAAGAAUAGGUUUUGUUCGUAAUCAAUAACCAACAAGUUUUACAUUAAAUUACAAAUUAGAAGAAUAUUAUAUUAUAUUAAAUUAAAUUAAAUACUUACAAAAACAAAAGCCGGUUCAAUCUGCCCAGUGUUGGAGGAAUAGUUCCAACCAACACAUUGUUAGACAAAUCGCUGAUAAGAAAAAAAAAACAAAAUCAUUAAAAUUAUGAACACAAAACAAAAAAAUCAUUCAAAUAUUUUUUUAUUUUUUUGAUAAAGCUGAGAUUCAAAUAUAUACAAGUUUAAAUAAUAAAACACAUGGCUUCAAGCUCUGAUAGAUUUCCAAUUCCUUGGGAAAUGGUCCACCCAAGUUGUUUGACUGCAUGUAUCUGAAAAAGGAUACAUUAACAUUGUGAUAUUAAUGGCUUUCUACUGGCUGUUAAAAAAUCCGUGAAUGCUCUAUAUUUCGCUGCUUUAUUCAAAUUUUGGGUCAUUGUGCUCUUUAUUUACAGUAAUUGGUCUGAUUAUUGUUAUUGUGAUGAUCUCUCAUUCUUGGUUCUGCCGCUUCCGACCUUUGUAUUUUGAUCGAUCAUCAUCCUCUAGUCGAGGGCAAACGUUACAUUCCACGGCUAUUGUUGCGGACCUUCCUUCUACUAGUGCACCUCCAUCUGCAUUUCAUGCUUCUCCAUCCACUUGGUUUAUAGAUUCAGGUACUUCAGAACAUAUGUCCGGUGAGUGUCAUUUGUUUCCUAAAAUUUCUUCUUCUUUGUCCCAUUCUUCAAAUGUUCGCCUAUUCAGAAUUCUGGCCAAGUACCUUUGUCUUCGUCCAUAUCUUUAACUUCUGGUUUACAUGUUCCUAAACUUGCUUUCUGUUAGUCGAUUGACAAAAUGCCUUAAUUGUUCAGUAGCAUUCUAUCCAUCUAAUUGUGUUAUCCAAGAUCUGAAUACGAAGAAGAUUUUUGGCAGGGUAUAUGAGAAAGCUGGACUUUAUAUCUUUGUGGACAUUGUCUCUACUUUAGCUACUACCACCCGUGUUUUCGGAUCCAGGACAUUUUACGUCCAGUCUUGAGACAUUGCAUCUAUACAAUGGGCGUGCGGGUCAUACCAAUUUCCAGCACCCAUGACAUUAACUUCUUGCAUUGAAAAGCUUUUGUAAGUCUAAAAAUUUUCAAUGUACUGUUUGUGAGCUUUUCAAACAUACUCGUAAUUCUUAUGUCCUUCGCAUGAAUAGAUGUGCUUCACUUUUAAUUCACACAGAUGUGUGGGGGCCUUCGCAUGUUACUUGUUUUGAUGGUUAUAGUUAUUUUAUCGAUUUUAUUGAUGAUUACUCUCAAUGUACUUGGCUUUACUUGUUGAAAUCUAGGACGGAAGUUCUUCUUACUUUAUUAAUUUUGUUAAGAUGAUCCAAACUCAGUUCAGUGUUACUAUUUGAUCUGAACGCUCAGAUAACAUUAAACAGUACAUCUCAACUAGUUUCAAACAACACCUCUUACCAUGGGAGUCAUACAACAGUUUACUUGUCCAUAUAGCCCUGAACAAAAUGGGGUGGCUGAAUGUAGAAAUCAAUAUCUUAUGAAUGUUGUUCGGUGUCUUCUUUGAGGCAUGCAUGUUCCGAAGCGUUUUUGGAGCAUGGUUGUCCUUACUAGCACUUGUUAAUCAAUUGGACACCUAGUGAAGCCUGACCUUCCUCUUCUCUCUUUAAAGCCUAGAGUGUUUGAUUGUGCUUUGUUCAGGAUCGAAGUUUCCAUAGGACCAAGUUAGACAACAAAUGUAUUUUCCUUGGCUACUCCGCUCAGUCCAAAGAUGUCACUUUCUUUGAGGAGGUCCCUUACUAUGUCUCACAAUCACCUGAACAUGACAAUACUUUUCGUCCCCCUCAAGAGUCCAUUUUUUUACCUGUUUUACCUAUGCCUAUUUUUCCUAUAUCUGCUGCCCAUGAGUCUUCAGUACAAUUUCAUGGGCAGGUUUACACUCGACUCCGACACAUGGAUAAUUUCUCCUGCCACCAUCUUCAACUCCAGGUUCCAACCACCUUCCGCCAACAGGUAUACCUUCUCCUGAUAAAGUUACACCUGAUUCCAUUAUUCAUACUCUUAUACAUGUCCAUGAUUUAGACCUACUAUUGCAAAACGCAAAGGAAAGCGCACAUGUGCUACAAAUCAUCCCAUUGAUAAAUUUACUAGACGCCACUCUAACCACAAGUGUUUAUUCAUCAAAAUACAUCUUGAGUCUCGACUACACACCAUAGUUUUGGUGUAUGUAUAUGAUAUUAUCAUUAUUGAUGAUGACACUCGGACACUCGGUACAUUACAAUUUACAAAGGUUAAGGCAGAUUUGAGUCAGAUAUUUGACAUCAAAGAUUUGGAUUCUCUUUAACAUUUUUUUGGAAUUGAGGUAGCUCGUUCAAGAUAUGGUAUAUCACACUCUCAAAGGAAGUAUAUAUUGGAUUUAUUAUCUAAUACUAGAAUGUUAGGAUGUCAUCCUAUUGACACUCAUACGGAUCCAAAUCAUCCACUUCAUCAAAAAACUAAAGAUCUUCUUCCUGAUCCAGGACGUUACCAAAGACUUGUUGGUCGUCUCAUAUACUUGACUAAUACUCGACCAGAUAUUUCAUUUGUUGUGAGUAUGGUUAGUCAAUUUAUGCACGACCCUCAUUCUACACAUGGAUGCAAUUGAUAGAAUUCUAGGAUAUUUAAGUCUUCCCUGGACUUGAAUUGUUUAAUCCUUCUAAAGGCUUAUCAGAUUUAUUAAGUGUUGGGCACAUGGUCCACCCACUAUUUUGUGGAUAUUGUCCCUACUUAGUCACCAUUAGACCCAAGGCCAUAUCCAUGGUGUGGGGUUUUCCUUCAGGGCUUCUGUUACCCAAAAGACAUCGACAAUAGUGGAUACCAGACAAUUACUUUUAAACCCCUUCGAGAUCUGUUAUGACUCAGAUGUGGGGACUAUUUGGUCCACACACAACAAUCUCCACCUUGGACCAAAUCUCGGCCAAGCACGCCGAAUCAAGCUGUGGGCUUUGAUAGCAUUUGUUGGGCCCAUAGUCCACCCACUAUUCUAUGAAUAUUGUCCCCACUUAGUCACCACUAGGCCCAAGGCCAUAUCCAUGGUGUGGGGUUUUUUCUAUGGGCUUUUAUUACCCAAAUGGCCUCGAUAAUAGCAGGUACCGGACCAUUACUUAUAAACUCCUUAGAGAUCUGUUAUAGCUCGGAUGUAGUUAUUAUUCUUAUCCGCUCGGUUGAUCAAUUAACAGAUAUGUUCACCAAAUCCUUGAGAUUUACAGUUCUUCGUUCGAAUGUGGUCAAGCAAGGAUUGAUAGAUAUCUUCUCUUGCUUGAGGGGGAGUAUUGGAACUAAAGCUAUUUUAGUAGUCUUAUAUUGUAACCUAAGGGUAUUUAGUCUUUGACGUUAUAUAUAUACACAUAUAUAUAUAUAUACUAUGUGAAUAUGCACGUGUCCAGACGCGUGACAAAAAAGAAAAUAUUUUAGUUUUUUCAUGGUAAAAAUAAUUUAGUGAUCUGUAUUAAAAUGCCGAUUACAUAAAAUAUGUAAUUGGUUGAGUUAUCGGGCUAUUCACUCAAUAAUUGUAUCAUAGAUGGACUUGGGUUAUGUAAUACCAAUUAAAUACGUCACUAAGGCCCAACCCAUAAAAUAUAGCCCAGCUGUGGAGAUCCAAAGAAAGGAUAAUUUGGUAUUUACAAAUAAAAGCAAUGGCAAUUUUGUAACAUAGAUAAAGACAUGGCAUAAAACUAUGCUAUCACCUGAACCAAAAGUAUAAGGAGUUAAGGACCCCUCUAAAAAUUUGAAAAGCAAAUACACAGAUGACAGAACAAAUAAAUCAUAAAUUAGUAUUAUGUAAGACAGGUGUCAAUGUAUGAUAGGCAGUACCGAAGUUGAACCAAGUUUCAUUGUAGCUAUAUAUAUUUGAGAUAUCAUAACAUUCACUCAUCUUCGACUUUAGGAACAAUAUAAGCAGAAAAAAGCUCCAUGUGUUUAGACUUUCAGUUUUUGGCAAGAUUUCGACACAUUUGUGAACCUAAAUGGUUUAAGAUAGACCUCGCCAGGAAAUGGUUUAGGUCACUUUCUUUUUUUGUUUUACAUUCCCUUGUCCCAGUGUGACACAGUUGAAGAAAUGCUUAAUUGGUCUUUUUAAUCGGUAAUUAUUUAUUAAUUUCCUACACAUUUUUGUAAUUUUUGAGCAUGUUUGUUUAUGAAAUAUUUUUUAAUAUGUUAUGCCCCUUCCAUGUGUCAAUUUUUGACAAAACCGAUGAGAAUUUUGAUAUUUCAUAUAAAUGGAUACCUUGUAUAGUUGUAUAUUGCAUACGUCUAGUGCUUUGUUUUUUGUGUAUAGUGUUGGUUGAGUUCAAAUAGCUCUGGUUGUUUUUCUUUUCUUAGCUGAAUUACGCUUUUAAUAAUUUGAAAAGCAAGUUUUACACCAACAUAAAAAGGGUCCGUGAAGAAGAACCUCACCACCACAGUAAUACAAAAAAUUAAAACACCAUUACAGAUUACAUAUGAUAAAGAGUAUGUUGUUCCUUCCCCGAUAACGAUCAUCUCCUCACAAGUCACAAUACACAUUUUUUUUUUUUUUAAGAUUAAGAUUCCUUGAUUCCCCGAGACUCCACCCAGCUUUGGUUGUAUGUGAGCAUAAUUGCUUAUCUUUGAAAGCUAUUAUAGUAUACUGAAAAAAUGUUUGAACACUUUUUAGAAAAUUCCUUGGAGAUUAUUAACUUACCAAGUACUUAAUUUACUUAAUUUAGCAUGUACAGAGAAUUCUAUUAACUUAGAGAGAUUAUUAACAAAUCAAGGUCAAAUCAAGAAUUGUAAAUUUCCAUUAAAACAUGUUGUAAUUGACUAGAAAUUGAUCAUUGAAAUAAAAAGAAAAUGAACAAAUUGAGGUUAACAACCAUUGUUAAACUAAAUCCCAUUAACUGAAAUUAGGGACUUGUUUUAACUCAAUUGAGCACAACUGUGUUAAUUGUUCUACGGUCACAUACUAAAAUAUAAAAAUCAAAAUACAAAACAUUAAACCCACACAGAAACACAUACCGAUAUAUAAAAAUCUGGUAAAUCAUUGAUUCUGUAAAUCUGAUUGAUGAUCUCCUCAGAUUUCUCCUUUUUCUUUUUCAAAGGAAUAAAAAGGAAAAUUGUAGUACUUGUUUCUUCUUCCAUUUGUUUCUCUGUAAAUCAGGGAAAGCUAUUACAACUAACAACUUCUCUUCAGUCCUCACAGAAACCCUAAAGACAGCGGCGUUGAGAUCAUUUUCAGCUUAAAUAUCAAAGUUAUGGGCCUGACUGACUAAUAUUGCCCUUUUUUUCUAUCGCUAUCAAUAGGCCAAAACCCAAUAGGAUCCGAUCCAAUAUACUUUACAAUCAGUUGAGCUUCGAGGGGAUUGUCAUCUUCAUGACCAUGUUCUUG